GUGUCAGCAGCCGCGGUAAUACGUAGGGGGCGAGCGUUGUCCGGAUUUACUGGGCGUAAAGAGCGCGUAGGCGGCUUGUUAAGUUGGCUGUGAAAGUCCCUGGCCUAACUGGGGAAAGUCGGCCGAGACUGGCAGGCUCGAGAGCGGUAGAGGAAGGUGGAAUUCCGGGUGUAGUGGUGAAAUGCGUAGAUAUCCGGAGGAACACCGGUAGCGAAGGCGGCCUUCUGGGCCGUUUCUGACGCUGAGGCGCGAAAGCGUGGGGAGCGAACCGAAUUAGAUACUCGGGUAGUCCACGCCCUAAACGAUGGACGCUAGGUGUAGGGGGUAUCGACCCCUCCUGUGCCGAAGCUAACGCAUUAAGCGUCCCGCCUGGGGAGUACGGCCGCAAGGCUAAA
rnacentral:rRNA from 1 species